CAGCCGCGGUAAUUCCAGCUCCAAUAGCGUAUAUUAACGUUGUUGCAGUUAAAAAGCUCGUAGUUGAAAUGAAGGGUAGUUGUGUAAUGAAUACAUUCGUGUAUUUUGUUAUUCAAGUAUCCUCCUUCUAAAUUCGAUAUAUGAGUAUUAAUUUACUUGUAUAUGGUUUUAGACAUUUACUGUGAGAAAAUUAGAGUGUUCAAAGCAGGCAUUUGCUUGAAUAUAUUAGCAUGGAAUAAUCAUGUAUGAUUUUCAUGAUGUAUUUGAUUGGUUUGGUUGAUGAGAAUAAGAUUAAAAGGGACAGUUGGGGGUAUUCAUAUUCAAUAGUCAGAGGUGAAAUUCUCGGAUUUAUGGAAGAUGAACAAGUGCGAAAGCAUUUACCAAGGAUGUUUUCAUUAAUCAAGAACGAAAGUUAGGGGAUCGAAGAGGAU
rnacentral:rRNA from 1 species